AGGACCGGGAUGGACGGAUCACUGGUGCACCUGCUGGAAACCAAUUCCACAACAGGGUAGCCAAAUCCGGAUCGGAUAAACGCUGAAGGCAUCUAAGCGUGAAGCCGACCUCAAGAUGAGAUAUCCAAGGAUUCAUGAGAUCCGCGAGACCCCCUGAAGAGUACAGGGUAGAUAGGAUGGAGGUGGAAGCACCGUGAGGUGUGCAGCUGACCAUUACUAAUAGGUCGAGUGCUUGUCCAA
rfam:Lachnospiraceae bacterium strain KH1P17 genome assembly, contig: Ga0059119_118